rnacentral:rRNA from 1 species
UACGGGGGGGGCAAGCGUUGUUCGGAAUUACUGGGCGUAAAGGGCUCGUAGGCGGCCAACUAAGUCAGACGUGAAAUCCCCAGGCUCAACCUGGGAACUGCGUCUGAUACUGGAUGGCUUGAGUUUGGGAGAGGGAUGCGGAAUUCCAGGUGUAGCGGUGAAAUGCGUAGAUAUCUGGAGGAACACCGGUGGCGAAGGCGGCAUCCUGGACCGGUAUUGACGCUGAGGCGCGAAAGCGUGGGGAGCAAACAGG